CCUACGGGAGGCAGCAGUCGGGAAUAUUGGGCAAUGGAGGAAACUCUGACCCAGCAACGCCGCGUGAAGGAUGAAGGUUUUCGGAUUGUAAACUUCUGUCGCGAGGGAUGAAGAAUGACGGUACCUCUUAAGAAAGCCCCGGCAAACUACGUGCCAGCAUCCGCGGUAAUACGUAGGGGGCGCGCGUUGUCCGGAAGGACUGGGCGGAAAGGGAGUGUAGGCGGCAUAGUAAGGUAUGUGUGAAAUGCAGGGGCGCAACCGCGGAAUUGAACAUAAAAUUGGUAAGCUGGAGUGCAGGAGGGGUAAGUGGAAUUCCCGGUGUAGCAGUGGAAUGCGUAGAUAUCGGGAGGAACACCAGAGGCGAAGGCGAGUGACUGGACUGUAACUGACGCUGAGGCUCGAAGGCGAGGGGAGCAAAAAGGAUUAGAUACCCGAGUAGUC
rnacentral:rRNA from 1 species